rnacentral:rRNA from 1 species
UACAGAGGGGGCGAUCGUUGUUCGGAAUUACUGGGCGUAAAGGGCGCGUAGGCGGCCCGCUAAGUCGAACGUGAAAUCCCCAGGCUCAACCUGGGAACUGCGUCCGAUACUGGCAGGCUUGAAUCCGGGAGAGGGAUGUGGAAUUCCAGGUGUAGCGGUGAAAUGCGUAGAUAUCUGGAGGAACACCGGUGGCGAAGGCGGCAUCCUGGACCGGUAUUGACGCUGAGGCGCGAAAGCUAGGGGAGCAAACGGG